CAUUGACCAGGUUCAACAAGUAGUGAGAGUAUUUAACAAAUCGAAAACCCACAUUUUGUGGCACAUUACAUAUUCUCGUGACUGUACGAUGUUAUCCGUGCAAUUGAUAUACGAGUGGAGAAACUCGGUGGAUUCUAGUAUUUACCAAUGUAAACGUUAGAAAGCUGACAUGACCGAUUGAUUCUGUAAAGGACAAAAACCUAUGGGCAAAUAAGACAUGCUUGAUGCUUGGAUGUAUUCGAUAAUGGAAAUAGAUUACUUUGAGAAAAAGGCAGUCGACGACCGAUCCUCUCGCGAAUCUAAUAAAAAAAGGAGAAAAGAAAAUAAUUGCGUCAAAUAGAGAUGCUUUGCACCGGAUGGUCCGUGUUCCGUUUGAAUUCUUUGUGCACUAAGAUAGAUGUAACUUAUGUUACAUUUUGUUUAUAUUUAAAAGAAAAACAAGUGAUUACCGCAAAUGCAACUAUGAAGGUUCUAAAUGUUGCCGAGAAGAACGAUGCCGCCAAAAAUAUCUCGCUCCAUUUAUCCAAAGGAAAUAGUUCUCGAAGAGAAGGUUUAUCCAAGUUCAAUAAAAUAUACGAAUUCAAUUUACAACUAUGGAAUCAAAAUUGUAAGAUGAUUAUGACGUCGGUCUCUGGACACCUUCUGGGCUACGAAUUUGUGGGAUCCUAUCGGAGAUGGGAAGGUUGUCAUCCGCUGAGUCUGUUCGAUGCUCUUGUAGUGAAGCAGUGUAUUCAGAAUUAUGCGGAUAUUAAAAAGACAUUGGAACGAGAAGUGCGAAACUGCCAAGCACUUGUCCUAUGGACGGAUUGCGACAGGGAAGGGGAGAACAUUGGGUUUGAAAUUAUUCAAGUUUGUCGAGCUAUUAAACCUGGUAUCAAAAUUUACAGAGCAAAGUUUUCCGAGAUUACACAAUGUUCGAUGGAACGGGCUAUUAGAAAUCUCGAACAACCGAAUAAGGCCAUCAGCGAUGCGGUGGAUGUGCGCAGUGAACUAGACCUAAGAAUAGGUGCUGCAUUUACAAGAUUUCAAACGUUAAGACUGCAAAAGGUCUUCCCUCGAACCCUUUCGGAUAUGCUCAUCAGUUACGGCAGCUGUCAGUUUCCGACGUUAGGCUUUGUAGUGGAACGAUUCCUGGCGAUUGAAAGAUUUAAGCCAGAGCCUUACUGGAGACUCAAAGUGACGGAUAUGCGGAAUGACAUCUUGGUUGAAUUCAGAUGGGAUAGAAAUAGGCUCUUCGAAGAAUUGCCGUGUCAGAUUUUGUUGGACCGAUGCUUGGAGAAUCCUAACGCUACUGUGGAAAAAGUGACGAGUAAGCCUAAGAGCAAGUGGAGACCGUUACCGCUGGAUACUAUAGAAUUGGAAAAACAAGGCUCUCGGAAACUUCAAUUAAAUGCCAAGGAGACCAUGCAGAUCGCAGAGAGGCUUUACACUCAAGGUCUCAUCAGUUACCCUCGUACCGAGACAAAUAUAUUUCCAAAGGAACUUAACCUGGUUCCUUUGGUCAGCGAUCAAACCAACAACCCAGUCUGGGGAGAUUUUGCGCGACGAUUGCUUGCCGAUGGACCUACGCCCAGGCAGGGGAAAAAGAGCGACCAGGCUCACCCCCCGAUCCAUCCGACAAAAUAUUCCGAUACGCUUCAAGGACACGAAGCUCGAGUGUACGAAUUUGUAACGAGACACUUUCUUGCUUGCCUGUCAAAGAACGCGGAAGGUGAAGAAACAUUGGUAGAGAUUGACAUCGCGGCAGAAAAGUUUGCCGCGAAUGGAUUGCGGAUUAUAGCAAAAAAUUAUUUGGAAGUUUACGUUUACGAAAAGUGGAGUGAUAAAGUGAUUCCUGUUUACGAACGUGGCCAGGUGUUCGGGCCUACCGGCAUUGAAAUGGUUCGGUCGGAGACAACGCCACCUAACCUUUUAACCGAAGCUGAUUUAAUUGCCUUGAUGGAUAAACAUGGGAUUGGAACCGAUGCGACCCAUGCCGAGCACAUUGAAACUAUCAAAUCGAGACAGUAUGUAGGUCUAGCCGAUGGAUCGCACUUUGUACCGGGAAACCUUGGCAUCGGAUUGGUAACGGGUUACGAUAGAAUGGGCUUUCAAAUGUCAAAGCCUAACCUGCGAGCUGAAUUAGAGAGUGAUCUGAAACUAAUAUGCGAAGGGAAGAAGGACCCACAGGUUGUCUUGCUUAACCAGAUAUCCAAGUAUCGAGAGGUAUUCAAGAUUGCUCUAGAACGAGCCAAUUUAAUUGACGGAGCUAUUGCCGAGUACAUCGAAGAGAGACCAAAAGAUGCCGAAGAAUUGCCAGCCACUGUGCCACCGGAGGAUAUUGUUGUUUUCUCGUGUCCCAAAUGUGGUUCGAAUAUGGUGCUGAAAGACAGAUCGCUCGAUGGAAGGAAAUACAUCGGUUGUAUGGCAUAUCCAGAUUGCAGCAACAGUAUCUGGCUCCCUUCGACCAUCGAACGAGUUCAAGUGCUCGAUAGAGUCUGCCAGCAAUGUCCUGGUAACCUGCCGAUACUGAGGUUUAAGCUAAAACGCGGCGCACUACCCCUCUUUGGCAUCGAGCACGAGACAUGUAUAGGAGGUUGUGACGAAGAAUUCAAUCAAGUGAUGGAAAUACGUGUCGAUAAUGUUAGAAGAGUCCAGGGAACCAACGAUACCGGCUACACAAGUUUUCAUAGAUCCUCCGUAAGGAGUUCCGACACCUCUCAGAGGAAUAAUACUCCUUCUGGUCGCACCGAUUCGAUUCCCGGCACGCAUCAAAGGCAAAACUUCCCUCCUCCUAGACCCAGCGCGCCAUCUGUGCUACCACGAGUGCAAGCAAUGAUGGAAACGGUGGCAGUGGAUCCAGCCAAAUUUCUGGAACUUCUCGUAGCAACUAUGGCAAUGACUCGGACACCGGAGAUCGGAUCUGGGGAACCAAUGACGGGAAGCAGUUCUACAAAUGUGCAAAGCCACAAGGCCAGGGCUGUGACUUCUUCAUGUGGGACCCGAACAAUAUGGAGAACGAAGGCGAAGGUGCGAAUUCACGAGAAGCCAGUAGUAACGGUCGCCAAAAUCGAGGAAACUGGAUCAACGCUAUGAUAUCUAAUGAUCCCGCUGUGACUGCUCCUAACGUGAUCAAUUGUCUCUGCGGUCUGCCUGCAAAGCAGCUGACCGUUCGCAAGGAAGGGCCAAACAAGGGACGACAAUUCUACAAGUGCCAGCAAGAUAUUUGUAAAUUCUUCGAUUGGGGUAACGAGGCUGGGUCCGAGUUUCCGGAAGGACAAAUUCGAGCACCCAGCGCACGAGGA
rnacentral:misc_RNA from 1 species